rnacentral:lncRNA from 1 species
GGGAGAGAGAAAGAGUGAGGGGUCGGAGAGGUGGUGGGUUCGGUGGGGUGUGCUCGGUGGUGGAGACAGCGGUGGCUGUCUUCGGCGGCGAGAGGGGAAUAAGUAGAGGAGCGGCCGCGCCCCCUCCUUCUCCCAGCCCACUCUCGGCCGGACAGGCGGCCGUGCCGCCGGCUAAACCCUCGUACGGGUGGAGGCGGGUGCGUUCCCUUUACCGACGCUGACAAAGGAUAGAGCAAUAAAAUAUAAUUUGUAAAAAAAUAAUAAUAGCACAAUAAUUUUUUUUUAAAAAUAGUAGUUUGUAUAUAUAUAGACAUGAUAAUUUAUUCAAUAAAAUGUACACUCUCACGAAUGAUUUUAAAAAUCUCUAUACCUUCCGUAUGUAGUUCUACGAUAAUAUUGUUAUAAGCAACUUAAGUAAGUUUCUGAAGAAAAACAGUGGCAAAGCCACUACUCGUUUCAUUGAGGAUGGGAAUGGUGAGGUAUAGAGCUCCGCCCACAAGAAGAGUUGCAGGCUGAUCACUUGAAAAGGAAAAGAACGCCAAAAACCGAGGAUACAACCUUCUGCUGCUGGGAGCGAAGCUAAAAAUCCAGCGGAAGUCACAUAGAACACUCAAAACCCUUCGAGCAGACAACUCAAGAACAAGAAGAAAUUAAAAAAAUCAAUAGAAUCAGGGAACAACAAAAAGCUGUGCAGCCUGAGGCCCUAGAGCAUCAGAGAUCAGAGCGACUUCUAUAAGUUUAGUAAAAGGAUAAAUGAAAAAGAAGCUCCACCUAGGAUUUUCUUCCCGUUAGGAAGCCCUGCAUUUGUACAUAUAAUGCACAUGAAGAGAAAUAUGGAUGGUUGCAAUAUCAAAAAAUAUUUUUUUAUUUUAAAUUAUUAUGUUAAAUGGCAAAUGACUCGCUUGAGGUUGUUAUACACUUAUACAUAUAAAGAAUAAAUUUUAUUUCUCUAAAAAGAGAAGGUUCUAGAAUUUUAAUAGAUAUUUUUCAAGAAUUUUUUUUUUUAAGUACAACAGAUGAUCAACAAAAUCAAAAAAUAAUAACUCACUAAAAAGCUCCGGCAGGAACCUUGGUUAUUCCAUAUGAAGCCUUCCGAGUGGUGGACAGCAAAAGAUGCGAUCCGAAUAGUCACAUUAUUCAUUUUUCUGUAGAUAUGCGUGGUUAUGUAGGA